rnacentral:rRNA from 1 species
UACGGGGGGGGGCUAGCGUUGUUCGGAAUUACUGGGCGUAAAGGGCGCGUAGGCGGUCUGCUAAGUUGGAUGUGAAAACUCUGGGCUUAACCCAGAGCCUGCAUUCAAUACUGACAGGCUAGAGUUCUGGAGGGGAUAGCGGAAUUCCUGGUGUAGCGGUGAAAAUGCGUAGAUAUCAGGAGGAACACCGGUGGCGAAGGCGGCUAUCUGGACAGAGUCUGACGCUGAGGCGCGAAAGCUAGGGGGAGCAAACAGG